ACAGAUAGACGUCUUCCCCUUUUUUCGUUCUCUUUGAACCGACCGUUUCUUCUUUUCUUCUCAUCCUCUUUUUUUUAGUGGAUGACUCUUCUGUGUCCUCGUCCCUGUCUGACUUCCUGUCGUGACAGCGGGCGGACAGUUUAAAAACAAUGCCCCGCAGCUUCACAGGCGCUCUCUGUGAAAGGGACUCUGUCUCUCGGCGUUCCCGUUUUGAGAGAUCCUGCGCUUAAACCCGACGAGGUUUUCGAAAGCAGGACCCGAAGACGACCCGAAUGAGGGAGCAGAGGGAAGCGCUCCUCUGAGAAGCUCGAGUGAGAGACAGGUCUCUCGCACCUGCGCUCACCUGAGACCAGCCUAUCCAGUCACAACUCAGCAUGAUGGCCACCCCACCAAAUACCUAACCGUAGACUGAGGCUCUCAGUGAAGUAACCAGCGUAGAAGCACAAGGACCCCAGUGACUGCAGCCAGCCAGCGACUAUUUUACACCUUCCUGCAGUCCUGGAGUUACUGAGACUAUUUUCCACCCUCCUGGAGUUACUGAGACUAUUUUCCACCCUCCUGGAGUUACUGAGACUAUUUUACACCCUCCUGGAGUUACUGAGACUAUUGUCCACCCUCCUGGAGUUACUGAAACUAUUUUACACCCUCCUGCCUUCCUGGAGUUCCUUAGACUAAUUUUCACUCCAAUAUAUUUUCCAAAAUAUUUAAUUGCUAUUUUUUUAACUAUAUCAAAAAAGUAUAUAGUUUAAAAAAAAUAUAUUUACCUCUAUCAGUCUUUGUUCACCUCUGUUAUACUGCUUGUUAAUAAUAUUAUUUUUGCAGUUCUCUCUACAUGUUUCUGUCAUUUAAAUAAAUUACAAAAUAAAAAAAAAUUAAAAACAUUUAGUCAGAAAAAAGCGCAAUAAAGAUUCUUUAUGGUCAGCUACAGUGCAUUGGCCUGUACAGCUGGAGUUUUUCUCUACUGCCCAUUGCUCACUGUUCUAAACCACAUGUUAAUCAUCUCCCAUGAUGCACACACCCCUCUCCUGCUGAACAUUAGCCUGCUGUAAAAUGACGUGCUUAAACUCCUUCCUGUUUCUACUGCAGGAGCCGUGAUUGGCUGGCGGUGAAAUCAGCAUUCUGGGGAAAAUGUGUUGUGUGAUUGAUCCAUCGAAGUUACUCCAUCCACAGAAGCUGUGAAACAAAGCUCUUUUACAAAAUAACAGAAGACUGUCUGAACUGUUUGAGUGAGAAGUUCACUGGGCAUGUUCGCUGCUAAGUUAGGCUCCAAAGAACAUUUUUAU